rnacentral:lncRNA from 1 species
GGGAAGCAGAGCUCAUUCUCCAAGGAUGAUGCUUUGCUCCAAGUGCCUAGCCUUGGCGUAUCUCUAGGUUGGCAGGACUCUGACCAACACUGCUCCAGGAAUGCAGGGGUACUUCAUAUUCCUCCAACACCAGAUCUUGUGUUGUUUUCCACACAGAGAAGAGCUAUAGGGAAUCCUAUAUCAGUGACCUGGAGCUGGACCUGGACCCAGACCACAGGGAUGCCCUGGGCACUGAGGACAAUAAGAGCAGCAGACAACAUCUCCUCCACUGCUUCUGACUCUGCUCCACAAGGCAAGGCAGCUCCCACACAGCAGGCAUCCAGCCUAACUCCCAGCAGGGAGAGAGUGAGAUGUCUGUGGAUGAGCCCACAGGGACUGUACAAUUCUGUGGGAAGACAUCUGGUAGCUUCUGGAGCAGCUGCAGCAGCCAGGACACAUGAACUACAGUGGAGGUGAGCUAUAGGACCAGGUAGCAAAGAGUCUGAUCUGGCCAAUGCUGAUCUGAAUCCCUGGGUGCAGGCAGGAACUGGGUCAGUCAGGGCUACACUGAAGGCCAGUCAAGGGCAUGCAAUGUGUCACUAACACUGUGUGUGUCCACAUUCUCAAAGUCGUGUCCAGGAAAAAACAAGUGGCCUUGAGCACUGAACUUGAGUCCAGACUCAUGGGCUACAGGAUGGCAGAUUGACCUGAGUAUGAAAUCGCAUGAGUAUGACCUCUGGCUGCUCCCUGGGCUCAGGAUAGAUGGGCCCUGAGAAGGCACCAUUCAUGGGUCUGCAGGAGUAGGGGAGAGCUUGGCAUUCACGAGCCACUCCUAACCCUUACUGGAGCCACUCUGGAAUAAAGUGUAAUGAGAUUAUAUUCAAACCCA